rnacentral:lncRNA from 1 species
GAAUAGAUGUUGUGAAGAGUAUUGACAGCAAUGUGUAUGGAGAUGGGGAAAAUCCAUUCCCAUCUUUGGAGACGCUGACUUUUGAGUACAUGGAGGGGUUAGAGCAAUGGGCUGCGUGUACUUUUCCUCGCCUUCGAGAAUUGGAGAUAGCCAAUUGCCCUGUGUUGAACGAAAUACCAAUUAUACCCUCCGUCAAAACGUUAAGCAUCCAUGGAGUGAAUGCUUCGUCGCUGAUGUCAGUUAGGAAUCUCACUUCUAUCACCUCCCUUCAUAUAGGAAACAUUCCAAAUGUGAGGGAGCUUCCCGAUGGGUUUUUGCAAAAUCAUACCCUCCUUGAAAGCUUAGUAAUUUAUGAGAUGCCAGAUCUGGAGUCUUUGUCAAAUAAGGUAUUAGAUAACCUUUCUGCUCUUAAAAGCUUGGGGAUUUCGUUUUGCUGGGAACUUGAAAGCUUGCCAGAGGAAGGUCUUCGUAACCUCAAUUCCUUGGAGGUUUUAAGGAUAGGGUUUUGUGGAAGAUUAAAUUGUCUGCCAAUGGAUGGGCUGUGUGGCUUAUCUUCUCUUCGGGGUUUAUAUGUUAGGAGAUGUGAUAAAUUCACAUCUCUAUCAGAGGGAGUGCGGCAUCUGACAGCUCUUGAGGAUUUGGAGCUUGUUGAAUGUCCAGAGCUGAAUUCAUUGCCAGAGAGUAUCCAACAGCUCACUUCUCUCCAAUCUCUAUACAUUCGGGAUUGUCCAAAUUUGGAGAAAAGGUGGGAGAAAGAUUUAGGAGAGGACUGGCCUAAGAUAGCUCACAUUCCUAAGAUUAGUUUCAAUUAAAAUUGAUAUGCAAAAUUUGUAAUGAGAAUAAAAUAUAUAUUUUCGUAGUUUUAAUUUGUUGUAAUUGUUUAAAUAAUUUUCUCAAAUUGAUUGUUGUUUUAUUCUUCAUAUAAAUGUAUAAAAAUGAUUGGUUCAUUAUUUGUUUUAAUUGAAACUUGUUUUACUACUACUGUAAUAAGUAGUUUUUUUUUGUCCAAAAGAUAUAAUCCUUUUAGCCAAUUAAGUAUUUUUUGUUACUUCAAAACAAAAACUUGAAUAAGAAAAUCAACUGUUGAGGUUUCUCAACUAAAAUAUCAAUCUCAUAAACAUCCUUUUAGCCUUUAUUUUACUUAAUUAAUUGAAACUAAUAAUGAUCGCCGUGGAAAAAUAUUCGCUCGAUUGCCUUUUAUCCAUUUUAUUUUAUUUCGAUAAAAACGAUCUUCUCACACGUAAAACUUUUUAGACUCAAAAUUAAAUACACAUCAAUCAAUCGCACCAUAAAAAUACAUGUCGAUUUUGUCCAUUUAAUAAUAUCUAUAUAUUAAUUUAAUAAAAUUUUAAAAAUAAUUAACUUAAUCAAGUAUUUAUUUAAUUUUUCGAGGUCUAAAAAUAUAAUUCUUGUAUUAAUUAUAUUCUAGUUGUUAAUUUUUAAAAUAUAUUUUAAUCAAGUCAUACUUAAUUAAAUCAUCUCAGUUUAAUUUCUACCUAAAGAUUUUUAAUGUAUGUGACCUAUUAAGUUUCUAAUAUGUUGGUCAAAAUAAAAAUUAUAAUUUAAUAAUUUAAUUUAAUAUCAAUUCAACAAUUGAUUAAUUUAUAUUUGAAAACAAGGUGUAUCAUCUGUUAACGUGUCUUGAUUUUUUAAAUAUUAGAAAAAUCAUUAGUGGUUUGACUUAAUCUUCUAGUGACUAGUUUUUCAGUGUAAUUAAUAUCAUUUCAUCAAUAAUGUUUUGAUUUAACAUUAAAGCAUGGGGUAUGUUUGUCAUGUUAAAUCAUGUUUAUUCUCUACAUGAUAGUCAUUGAUCGUUUAAAUAAGAUUUGGAACUCUUUUCAAAUUUCAUUCCACCUUAAUUAAGAAUUUCUCAGUCAAUACUAUUUGAGAACAGAUAAAAUAUAUAUUUUUUAAUUCAUCUAGGGUGAUGAAUCCUCUCCUUACAACUUAAAUAUCUUUUUAUUUUAAUUUUAAAAAUAAUGAAGUGACAGAAUUGUCUUUAAAAUAAAAAAUUUAUAAAUAUGGUUCCAAAGGGGGUGGUUUGUUAUUUUUUUUAUUUUUAGGUUGACCUUGGGGCUGUUUGGUAAUUUUAAAAAAUAAAUACUAUAAAAAAACUGUUGACGUGUGCAACUCACGUGUUAGCACAUGCAAGGUCGUCCGGUGACCAAAAUCAGUCAUCUACGAUGAUGUUUGGAGUGGCGCAUUGUCCGCUUCGUAUUGGCGAGAUGUGUGUUAACGGUAGAGGUGUGAUUGGGCUCUGAUGAACUUUUUUUUGUUUUCCUCUCUUUUUUUUUUUUUUUAAACUUAGAAAUUCAUAUCAGCCCUCCAACAAAAGCCAUCAUAGAGUCCAUUGAUGGUGCCUCAUGUGAUCUUCAAGAAUUGAAUCACUUGCAACAACGCCUCCAACAAAAGUUAACUGGAAAGAAGUUUUUGCUUGAACUAGAUGAUGCGUGGGAUGAUUAUGAUGAUAGGUGGAGUAAAUUGAAGGAGGUAUUAAGGUGUGGAGCUAAAGGUAGUGCUGUAAUAGUAACUACGCGUAAUGAGAUGGUUGCUCGUAGAAUGGCAGCAACUUUUGUCCAGCCCAUGGGGAGGUUGUCUGAAGAAGAUUCUUUGCAUUAAUUUGUUUCAACAGCUUGCAUUCGGGAUGAGAAGGAAAGAGGAGUGGGUGCACCUGGAAGCCAUUGGAGUAUCAAUAGUGAAGAAGUGUGGAGGAGUUCCGUUAGCUAUAAAGGCACUCGGGAACCUAAUGCGGCUAAAAGAAAGUGAAGAUGAAUGGAUAAAAGUAAAAAAAAAAAAAAAAAAGUGAGAUUUGGGAUCUAAGAGAAGAAGCAAGCGAGAUUUUACAUGGAGAAAGAACAAAAUAUUAGGUUCUUUCCAUAACCUUCAGGUAUAUAGAACCAAAACUACCAUCUCUGUUAUUUUCUUUUCAACAUCUUCAAUAAAAAACCGCAGGCAAUGGAUGAGGUUGCUAGGAAGCAACGUUUGGUUCAAAUUACAUGGUCUGGGAAGAGCCAUAGUGCACAAAGUGAAACCUAAAAGCUACACAUCCUCAUGAAAUGUUUCAAUGUGCCACUUGAUUCUAGAAACAAAUGCAGUUUCAGUAAAGCCCCAGCACAUCAGGUGAAUUCUUAAAUUGACACAAUCACGUACCUUAGAAAAAUAUUUCCAAAAAACUGCCCUCAAUCUAUCACGGACAAGCAUCAAGUCAUUUGAUUUAUUAUUUUUUUCUUUUUAAUUAUUUUUUACCUUAAUAUAUCAAAACAAUUUAAAAAUAUUAAAAAAAUAAUUUGAAAUAAAAAAAAUAAUUAAAAAAAAACAUUUUUGAAACACAAAAACAAAUGAUUUCUUAAUCUCUUGCAUUAACUUUUGAUUCUCUUCUUUUGUUUUUCUUUGUUCAACAUCCGUGAAAUUAUAAAUUAUAUUAUGUUCAAGUUUCCCUGAUCAGAUUAUAUUCCUUAAACUAUGUUUAAAAGUUCAUUAAUGGGAAUGUUGGUAAUGGAAGUACAGGUGAAGUGGUAUAUUUUCAUAAGAAGUCAGAGUGUUUACGGUAGAAUAUGACUCAUUUGUGUAAAAAAAAUAUAUGUAAAAUUUUAAAAUGUAAUUUAUAUAAUUUUUUAGUAUAUAUCUUUAAUGAUAAAUUAAUUUUAAUUAGAACAGAAAAUAAAAAUAAUAAAAAAUUAACUCAAGAUUAUUUGGACAUCAAAGCUUUAAUAAGAUAUUAAAUAUUUAUUUAAACAAAAAAAGAUGGAAACCAUUAAAUAAUACUUUAAAACAUUAUUUAUAUUAUUUUUUAAAACUUUUCAUCCACACAAUCAAGCUCGCAAUAGGAACUGAUUUUAGUUGGCCACACAUUACCCAUCCAUGUUCUAAAAGUUCUAGCCGCAAGUUUCAUGCUUUGCCCUGUUUUAAUGAGAAAAGCUUUAUUUUAUUUUGUUUUUUUAUUUUUUUUAAAAAGGUUAUAAUGUAAAACUUGAUGGAACUUCUAUUGGAAAAACUUCAUCCCUAAUACUAAAGGCAUCUCUCAUUUGAGUCGCACAUUCAUCCAUAUCAAUUUUUAUUUAAUAAAAUGUUGUUGUUUUGGGCAAGAUUUUUGUUAAAAAAAGACCGAUUUGAUUUCUCUUUCAUGUAUUAGAAACUCAUUCGACUUGUUCAAGAAAUCGGAUUUGAGGUGGGUUUUAUACAAUUUUCCGAGAUUAACUUCUUCUUUUUUGUGUUUCUGGCUUGUUAAUUGUGGUUGUUGAUGGAAGUAAUUGGUAAUGUAGUUUAUGUAUUUGUAGAAAGUCUCCAUUCAACACGUUCAUUGAUUGUUUCAAACUUGAACAAUCAUAUCCAUUGUUGACUGUUUGAUGGUUAGCCACUAGUCAUGUUUAACAAUUUUUUCAAGGAUUUUCAAAUAAUCUCUCACUUUCUGCCUGUCUCUCAACUGUUUUUGAGUCUUCGAAUAGAUACUUGAGAUAUGUGCAUGGGAAGAAAAUCACUAGCAAGCACACGUGAAUUUGAAAAUACCUAUAUAGUAUAGGCAUGGAAGCCCCAUUCAGUUGACAGAUAAUUGCCGCUAUAAAGACCAUUACUCUACUAAAACCCAUUUCGUUACCACAACGUGUCACCUGUUCCAUAUCAGUUCAUUGUUAUUUAAUUCUGAAAAAAAAUGAUAGAUAUGCGUCUUUAAUGGCAGUUCGGUAUUUAUAUACUAAAUUACAAUGAUCCGUUUGUGCUCGAUACGAUAUUUUCUCGUAUCAAUAACAAAUAAGAUAUUGAAGAUUCUAGGCAAACUGAAUUGUUAUUCCAGUAGACACUGGAAUGUUUCAGGAUGUAAUAGUUGAUGUAGUGGCUAAUGCUUGAUAGAGCAUAAUCGCCGAUUUAGUUUUAAAAGUAGUGUUGAUUUUUCAGUCUUCUUCCUCGUCUUUUCUCUAGCCAACUUCUGUCAUCUUUUGCAGGGACAUUGGUUGUCAAUAUCAACUUGAUGUUGAUAGCCCUGCUGCCAUCCCGCAAAUACCAGCCCCACCGCGAUCAACUAGAUGGGCUAGGCACAAAGACUCUCCUGAUGAAGAAGACUCGCCAAGCACUGUUGUGCAGACUACUCCUCGCACUACAGGCAGCUGCUCACAGAAGGCUAGCAAGACUGCAGCCCUGACCAAGAUGACUGCCAAUUUUGAUCAGAUCUUUUGCGAUCUAUGGAUAUGAAAGUCACUACCAGAAAAUUGAUAAAUACAAACGGAAAUACCGAGGGAAUAUUUCCGUCGGUAAAUUUCCGAGAGAUUUUACCGAUGGAAAUAUUCCCUCGGUAUAUACCGAGGGAAUUACCGUGGGAAAAAAAAUUAAAACAAAGCAAAAAAAAAAUGAUGACGUGUCAUUUUUACCAACGGAAUUACCGACGGAACAAAUUCCGUCGGUGAUUCCGUCGGUAAAUUUGUUGGUAAAUUGUGAACAUUGUUCAUCAUGUUAAUUACAAAGGGAAUCACCGUCGGAACAUUCCGUCGGUAUUUUCCAGAGAGUAAAUCACCGACGGAUUGAAAAGUCGUCGGUGUUAUUUGGCGGUUUUCUGAAAAAAUUCAAUUAAUUUAAAAUUUUCAUUUAAAUAUUACAGACGGAAUCACCGACGGAUUGAAAAAUCGUCGGUAAUUUUUUGGCGGUUUUUGAAAAAAAUUUACGAAAUUGAAAAUUUAAAUUAAAUAUUUCCGAUGGAAUUACCGAUGGAAUAAUUAAAAAAUAUUAAUAUUUAAUUAUCCGUCGGUAAAGCGUCCCAAUAAAAAGCCUGAAUGCCCUUAUUUUACAAGAGACAGACCCGUUUCUUCUUCUUCUUCUUCUUCUACUUCUUCUUCUUCUUCUUCUUCACUAUAUGUAAAAAACAUCAUUAAAGUAUGUCUUCUUCUUCUUCUUCACUUUAUGUAAACAACAUCAUUUCUUAUCUAUUUCUUUCUCUUCUUUUCUCUCCUCAUCUCCUUCUCUUUUCCUCCAUGUUUGGGUAUGUCUUCUUCUUCUUUCUUCUUUUAUCCUCUUAGUUUUUUUUUUUUAAUUAAUAUGCUUAAUGAAAAUUUUUUUCUCUCCUUAGCUUCACUUGCAACUACAUUAAGGUAAGAUUUUUCUUUUUUCUUCUUUUUUCAUGAUUUUUUUCACUAUAUUUGUUUUUUAUUUUAUUUUUAAUUGUUUUUGUUCUUAAUAAUUGUAUAAAUGUUGUUGUAUUUAUUUUUAUUUUAUUUUUAAUUGUUUUUGUUCUCUAAAUUCUUCAUAGAAUUAAUUUUUUAGUUGAAUUUAUUUUUUUUAUUUUAUUUAUUUGUUGCAAAUUUGUUUGAAUUGAUUUUCUUAUUCUUUUUUCCAAGCAUUUUGAGUAUAUAUUAUACAGUGUUAAUUUAUGUUAAUUUAAUUAUUUUAUAAUUUUAUAAAAUGAAUUUUUUUUUAAUGUUUUUCAAUAAUUACCGACGGAAAAUCCGUCGGUAAUUCCGUUAUUAAUAAAAAAAUUAUUACCGACGUGUCUGUUCCGUCAGUAAAUCCGUCGGUAAUUCUAUUACCAACGGAUUUACCGACGGACAAAACAUUACCGACGAACAAUUCACCGACGGAUCAUUUCCGUCUUUGAUUCCGUCGGUAAUAUAAUUACCGAUGGAAUAUGUGUCUUAUACCGACGGAAAAAUUCCGUCGGUAAAACUGUUAAAUCUUGUAGUGAGUGAAGGGUACAUUGCCUCUUGGUUUGAAAAUUUGCUCUUCAAAAUCUCAGGUAAUUGAUGCUGUCAUUCAAGAAAUUUUCUAUAUUUUUUCCUUUCUUGUUGACCUCUUUGGCUACGUUUUUUUAAUCAUUAUCAUAUAGGAAGAUACAUCUUCAAAUUACCUUCUUCGUGAAUUGUAUAUGGUCAGUUUCAUCUAUGAUGGACAAUUGUGUGCUUUAAUGUCUGGUUGUUGCUAAGGUUGACCAUGCAUUUAAUAUUUCUCAUUGAGCUUCUCUUUUUGUUGGUUUGACAGAAUAAAACUCAGGACAUUAAAUCUACAGAGAAGACUUGCAGAACGUUCGACUGUUGUUUCAAAAGAAUUUUAAAAGCUGGUUAGUGAUGAGUGGCUUUAUAAGUGCUGCAAUGAUGUUUCAAAAGAGUUUGUCAAAGGCAUUCAUUCUAUUAAUGCUUCUAUGUGACCAGGCAUCUAUGGUAAUGCUGGAGGAUCUGCAGCUGUGGUGUCUAAUAUGCGUAAGCGUGCAGUUCAAGCUUCAAGAUUUAUAUAUGUUGCAGAUUAUGCAGGCCCCCCCUUUAUGCUAAACAGACUGAAAAUGAGGGUGAAAAUGGUAGCACCAGUCAACUGAAACUGUAGAUGGCUCUUCGCAGCCUUCAUUUGAAUGUUCAGAUGAGGGACUUGGAUUUACAUGGUUUCUUGGGUACCUGUUUCUUGUCAGACAUCUUAUACUUCGUUACGGAAAAAGGAAAACUGCUCUAUUUAGAUACCAGAACAAGGAGAAGCUUAGCUCCACUGAUGACCAUAGAGAACUCAAGAACCCUUAGGAAGCAUAAAGCAAAAGCAUUUUUCAAAUGAAAGGAGAACUAAACAAAGAUAGGACUCCCCCUUGAGCCGUACAGCAAGGUAGUAUUAUGGUUCCUGGAAAAGCCCGUCUGCAGCUCCAAUCAGAGUACUAUAACCUCAUAACCAUUUUCUUAAAAAUGCUCACCUUCUCCGUACGAAAAAAAAAAACAUUUAUUCCCACAUCCAGAUGCUUCAUUUAUGUUUUGAUUAACAUUUAUAAGUAAGGCUAUGAUUAGAUUAGAAUUCAUUUCCUACAAGAAAUAUUAAUAACCUUGUCAUAAAAAUCUUGUUAGGUUGUUUCCAGAACAGGUAUUUUAAUUUCCCAAAAAGAAGUAAAGAAGCAUGAAAAAGAAAAACAGAAUAAUGUGUUUCCUAGCAAAUCCUCAACUUCAAUUCGUCUUCCAUCUAUUCCAGUUUAGCAACUUUUUUUUCCCUUCAGUUGAAUCCAAUUUGGAAAAAAAUUAUCAAAUUGUACUUGGAUUAUUUUUCAGAAGUCAUUGCCACAUGUAGCAAUUAUGAAACAGAAAAUCAAGGACACAUAGGCUAGAUGCGAUGUAUAAAAUUAUUAUGAAUUGUUCAUACUUCAAAUUAUUAGCAGAGAAAAAAUCUGCAUAUUGAGUACCUUUGCUGGCGAAGUUUCUCAGCUAGUGGAUCUAGUUUCUCUUCCUUUAGCACCUGAACAGUUUUUCCCUUCUUUUCGGUAGACUUUGCUGCAGAUUUCUUAGGAGCCUUUUCAGGAGGAGGUUUCACUACUGGUGCCUGAUCCAAUUCCAUAAAGAAAUACAAUAAUUACAGAUCAAGCACCACCAUAUAUAAACAUGGAAUGCAGCACUUCAUAUUUCUGUAACAGUGGGACUCAAAUAAAAAAGUUUAUAAGUGCAUAAAAUAAGCUAAGGUAUAAUAUACAACUGCAUCCCAUAUGUCAGCAUCACAUUUCUGUACACUUUUCUUAAUGAACCCGUGCCCACAAAAAUAUUCUCUUCCAUCCCUUCCCAAGCUCCCACUCCGCUUGAACAAAAUAGAAAGCUCCAAGAGAUAUGCACAUGUUUUUCCAGAUUGCAUAAAAGCUCUUUCCGAAUCAUAAAUUCCGAGCAUUUCUUUUCUAAUGAAAGCUACCUGCAUACCUUUACUUGGAAGAAAAACUUUUAUACGAUUGUAGUUUGACGCAUCAUUCAUAAGUUCUUAUUACAAUUUUUCCCCACUCACAGCAAGAGAAAACAAAAUUAGAUCAACAUUCCAUUAUUAAAUAUCAAAUAAGCCUAUCCCUAUCAUACCAUUUUCCAUAACUAGCUGUGUAUGUUGUUCCUGGACCUAUAAUAGCAUCCAACAUUUUAGGUGACUUUGGUUGAAAUUUGAAAGUGAUAGAUAAAGUAUAAAAUAAUGUGAGAUCAAGAUUACAUUAUCAAUCAUACCGGAGCUGGUUCAUCUUCAUCCUCCCACGAUUCUUUCACAUCAUCUUCAUCCACAUCUUCAUCAUCCCAUUUAUUUUUAGGCUGCUCUUUUGAAAGGAUAGGUGGAACUUGCACGUCCUCUGAAAAAAAGAUGUGCAGAUUAAAUCAGCAAAAUAAAAAACAUGAACAUAGAGAGAACUUCAUCUAGCAAUUUAAGAUAGAAAAAAUUUACAUGGAGAAAGAACAAAAUAUUAGAUUCUUUCCAAAACCUUCAGGUAUAUAGAACCAAAACUACCAUCUCUGUUAUUUUCUUUUCAGUAUCUUCAAUAAAAAACCGCAGGCAAUGGAUGAGGUUGCUAGGAAGCAACGUUUGGUUCUAAUUACAUGGUCUGGGAAGAGCCAUUGUGCACAAAGUGAAACCUAAAAGUUACACAUCCUCAUGAAAUGUUUCAAUGUGCGACUUGAUUCUAGAAACAAAUGCAGUUUCAGCAAAGCCGCAGCACAUCAGUUGAAUUCUUAAAUUUACACAAUCACCUUUAGUUAGUGUGAUGUUUUGAAAUAAAAGAGUAGGAAAAGGAAAUAAAGUCCUUGUCUACAUACACUGAUAUCUAGUUCAAUCCGACGAACCCCAACUAACCCCCACACACUAAUUUGGAUCCAGCAACUAGAAGUUAUCACAGUGUCUUUCAAACCUCAAACACAAACGGAUAGAAGAGCUAAACAUUAAAAAAAUUAAUUUGAAGUAAAAAAAAGUCAAUUUUUUUUUUUAAAAAAAACCACAUUUGAAUCAAAAAACAAAUGGGUCAUAAUCUUCUUACAGUAACUUCUGGUUCUCUUAUUCUGUUUUUCUUUGUCCAACAGCUGUGAAAUUAAGAAUUAUAUUAUGUUCAAGUUUCCCUGGUCAGAUUAUUUCCUUAAACUAUGUUUGAAAGUUCAUUAAUGGUAAUGUUGCUAAUGGAAGUACAGGUGAAGUGGUGUAUUUUCAUAAGAAGUCCUCGUAAAAGUACCCAUUAUAUUGAUAGUUUGAAACUAAAUCCAUUUCAUCAUCUUUUGCAAUGUCUUGCAAAAGGAAACUUAUCGUAUUUCCAUGGAAAUAUAUUUUGAUCUUUCGCACUGCGUGUUUGUAUAAAAAAAAUAUUUUAAUUUUAAAUUUUAAAUUAUUAUAUGAAAUUUUAAAAUAUAAUUUAUAUUAUUUUUUAAAAUAUAUUUUUUAUGAUUAAUUAAUUUUAAUUAGAACAGAAAAUAAAAAUAGUAUAAUCUCAUAUUCUUAUUCUUGAACAUUAAAGUUUUGAUUUAAUAUUAAAUAAUUAUCUAAACAAAAAAAUUUACACCAUUAAAUAAUAUUUUAAAAUAUUAUUUAUAUCAUUUUUUGAAACUUUUCAGCCGCACGAUCGAAAGCUCGCAAUAGCAAAUGAUUCUAGUGGGCCACACAUUACCCAUCCAUGUUUUAAAGGUUCUAAGUUUGAUGCUUUGACCUGUUUUAAUGAGGAUAUAUUCUGAAUUUCAUUUUAGAAAAAGCUUUAUGUUAUUUUGUUUUUUUUUUAUUUUUAAGAAAAGGUUAUAAUGUAAAACUUGAUGGAACUUCUAUUGGAUAAAAAAUAAAAAAAAAAAAACUUCACCCCUAAUACUGUGAUAACUUCUAGUUGCUGGAUCCAAAUUAGUGUGUGGAAAAAUUUUACAAAGUGUGAACUGAAAACUUCACCCCUUUAAAAAUUUUUAUAAAGUGUUGUUCAUCAAUUGAUAGGUGGUGAACUAAUUAAAGUUAAGAAAAUUCAGGUUCCGAAUCCCUUUAAUCUUCAAAUAAAACAUAUUCUGGCUAAAAUAAAAUAAAAUAAAAUAAAAUUCCUAGUCAAUUCUACCAUUCUACCAUAGAAGUAGGCCUUCCAUGGAGCAGGACCACAGGCUUUGAUGGUGGCUCCGCUUUCUACCUUUUAAAAUUGCUCGGCCCAGCCUAACUCUAACUAACUUAAUUUCGCGCCAAACCUCGACAUCUUCGGCCCCCAUGGUAUCAGUUCCCGCCAUCCAGUUCUCUACACCAAAUCUUCGGCCCCAUGGUAGGACUCACAUGGUAUCGCAGGUUGUAGAGAAGCAGUCUUGUCUGGGAAAAACAUAACCAGUGAAGCAUGGCUCCAUUAUUUAGUGAAUAAUGGAGCUAUACUACACUGUAACAUUGUUUACUAAAAUAAAUAGUUUUUUUAAAAAAAAAAUUUAAAAAAAUUAAUGCGAGUGAAUUAAUUCACUUCUACUGUUCACAUGAAAAGUUUAGGUUUUUUUUUUUGAAAAAUCAGUGUAAUUAAUUGAUUUUACUCGCACUAUUCACGGUGAACGUGAACAAUAUUUUUUUUUUGUUAAAAAAAGUAGUUUAAGGUGAAUUAAAUUUACUCAUACUGUAAUCUCAAUUUUAUUCCUCAUAAUAUUUUAUCUAAUUUUAUUGUACGCUCAAAAAAUCAUGAAAACUGUAGUUCUUGUCGAAUGAAUUUUGUGCGUAAUGAAAUUGUAAAAUUUUUUAAAAAAAAUUGAGUUUUACUAGAAAAACUAGUAUUUAAUAACACUACAUAAAUUAGAAGAAUAUCGCAUGAUGACGUAGCAUUUGUGGAAUUUGAUCGCAAUUCCAAUUAUGUUUUUUUCGGGUCCGACCCAGUUAAAAAAAAUUCAGUUUUUAUUUUUAUUUUAAUUGUGUUUUAUUCAAAAAAUUAGAAGGAUAUCGCUUGAUGAUGUAACAAAAAAAAUCAGUUUUUGUUGUUGCAUGCUUAAGAAACCAUGAAAAAUAUAGUCAUUGUUGGAUAUAUUUCGUUAUGAUGACAUUGCAUAUAGUUUAAUGGAAUAAUAAAAAAUAUUUGAUAUCAAUAUUAUUUAUUUCAGGAUGUAAUAAUAGUAGUUAAAUCUACAAUAUUUAAAUUAAAAAUAUUUUUUAAUUAUUUUAUUAAUAGUAGUUAAAUCUACAAUAUUUAAAUUAAAAAUAUUUUUUAAUUAUUUUAUAACCUCAAUUUGAAAAAUAUUUUUUUAACCAAACAUAUUAAACUACUUUUUAUUUAAUCUUAAUUUCAACCAUAAUUUUAACUAAAUAUAUAUUUUUUCAAAUCAAUUUCUACUAAAAAUAAAUAAUUUUUAUAAAACAAUUUUUUUACAGCCGAAUCCAUAAUAACAAACACAAUAAGUGGCGAUAAAGCAAUUCCGACAGGUGAGGUCACCUCAAAAAGGAGAUUUGACUCAUUGAUAAGAAUCUUUUGCCUCGUGAAAUUCCAAAUGCUGUCCAGCUAGAACUUCAAGGCGAAUGGGCAAUUAUUACUUUCUCUGUUCAAAGUCAUGUCGUGUUCUUUUCCUUUCUCUAUUCAUGUCCAAGAUAGACUAAUAUUUGAUUAUUCCAGAGAGCGAGCAAUUAUUCUGCACUUCUCUUUUCCAUAACCAAUCUUGCGUUUUCAUUUGACCGAUUUCGUCUUCCUGUCAAAGCCAUGUUCCUUCUCUGAAUCUUCAAUUGCUUUAUUAUAGCCAUAGCUAGUCAAGCUCCACCGUGUGGAGCCUAAUCAAUUUAUUCACAGAUUAGCACUGGUAAAGCCCAUCACCAAACACUAUUACCUUUUCCGUUUCUCAUCUCAAACUGCUCUGUCUUCUCAAUAUUUACUUACCAUUUCUUGCUCACAUCCCCUUCUUUUAGUUAUCCUUGCAGCUUUUCUGCUUCUUCUUGUCAACAUCCAUUUCAUUUCCAUUCGAAACCAAGCUAUGGCUGAUGCAAUUCUUUCUGCUCUCGCGAGCACAAUCAUGGGGAACUUGAAUUCCCUAAUUCUUCAAGAGCUUGGACUUGCUGGCCGGGGCCUAACGACCGAGCUUGAAAAUCUCAAGCGCACGUUCAGAAUCAUUCAAGCUGUGCUGCAAGAUGCAGAGGAGAAGCAGUGGAAGAAUGAAUCUAUCAAGGUGUGGCUCAGCAACCUCAAGGAUGCAGCUUAUGUUGUUGAUGAUGUACUGGAUGAGUUUGCAAUUGAAGCUCAGUGGCUUCUGCAGCGAAGAGAUCUCAAAAAUCGAGUAAGAUCCUUCUUUUCUAGCAAACAUAAUCCACUAGUUUUUCGACAAAGGAUGGCUCAUAAAUUGAAGAAUGUUAGAGAAAAACUAGAUGCCAUUGCCAAGGAGAAACAAGAUUUCCACCUAACAGAGGGGGCUGUGGAGAUGGAAGCAGAUAGUUUUGUUCAGCGUCGGACUUGGUCUUCGGUGAAUGAAUCAGAAAUUUAUGGAAGAGGCAAGGAGAAAGAGGAACUAGUCAGCAUCCUGCUCGAUAAUGCAGACAAUCUCCCUAUUUAUGCUAUAUGGGGGAUGGGGGGGCUGGGUAAAACAACACUUGUUCAACUGGUCUACAAUGAAGAAAGGGUUAAACAACAAUUCAGUUUGAGGAUCUGGGUGUGUGUAUCUACUGAUUUCAAUCUCGAAAGAUUAACAAGAGCCAUCAUAGAGUCCAUUGAUGGUGCCUCUUGUGAUAUUCAAGAAUUGGAUCCCUUGCAACUACGCCUCCGACAGAAGUUAACUGGAAAGAAGUUUUUUCUUGUAUUGGAUGAUGUGUGGGAUGGUUAUGGUGAUAGGUGGAAUAAAUUGAAGGAGGUAUUAAGGUGUGGAGCUAAAGGUAGUGCUGUCAUAGUAACUACGCGUAUUGAGAUGGUUGCUCGUACAAUGGCAACAGCUUUUGUCAAGCACAUGGGGAGAUUGUCUGAAGAAGAUUCUUGGCAGUUGUUUCAACAGCUUGCAUUCGGGAUGAGAAGGAAAGAGGAGCGGGCACGCCUGGAAGCCAUUGGAGAAUCAAUAGUGAAGAAGUGUGGUGGUGCUCCUUUAGCUAUAAAUGCAUUAGGGAACCUAAUGCGGCUAAAAGAAAGUGAAGAUCAGUGGAUAGCUGUCAAAGAAAGUGAGAUUUGGGAUCUAAGAGAAGCAAGCGAGAUCUUACCUGCUUUGAGGUUGAGUUACACUAAUCUAUCACCACAUUUGAAGCAAUGCUUUGCGUUUUGCGCAAUAUUUCCAAAAGAUCAGGUGAUGAGGAGGGAGAAGCUGGUUGCUUUGUGGAUGGCAAAUGGUUUUAUUUCUCGCAGAAAAGAAAUGCAUUUGCACGUCAGUGGUAUUGAGAUAUUCAAUGAACUAGUGGGAAGGUCAUUUCUGCAAGAGCUCCAGGAUGAUGGAUUUGGCAACAUAACAUGUAAAAUGCAUGAUCUUAUGCAUGAUCUUGCUCAAUCCAUUGCAGUACAAGAAUGCUAUAACAUCGAAGGCCAUGAGGAGUUGGAAAAUAUUCCUAAAACUGUUCGUCAUGUAACUUUUAACCAUAGAGGAGUAGCUUCUCUUGAAAAAACACUUUUCAAUGUCCAAUCAUUGCGCACAUGUCUUUCGGUGCAUUAUGAUUGGAAUAAAAAGUGCUGGGGAAAGAGCCUUGAUAUGUAUUCUUCUAGUCCAAAACAUCGAGCCUUGAGUUUAGUAACUAUCCGGGAGGAGAAAUUGCCGAAGUCAAUUUGUGAUUUGAAGCAUCUAAGGUAUCUAGAUGUAUCACGCUACGAGUUCAAAACACUGCCUGAAAGUAUAACCUCACUCCAAAACCUCCAGACACUAGAUCUGAGUUAUUGCAUUCAGCUCAUCCAAUUACCAAAAGGUGUGAAGCACAUGAAAAGUCUCGUAUAUCUUGACAUCACGGGUUGCCAUUCACUUCGAUUUAUGCCUUGUGGAAUGGGGCAAUUGAGAGACCUGCGAAAACUUACCCUGUUCAUUGUGGGUGUUGAGAAUGGUCGUUGCAUAAGUGAGCUUGGAUGGCUGAAUGAUCUUGCUGGUGAAUUGAGUAUCGCAGAUCUUGUGAAUGUUAAGAAUUUAAAUGAUGCCAAAAGUGCCAAUUUGAAGUUGAAGACAGCUCUUUUAUCACUGACUUUAUCUUGGCAUGAGAAUGGAGGUUACCUUUUUGGCUCUCGGCCAUUUGUGCCACCACGACAAACAAUUCAGGUAAAUAACGAGGAGGUCCUUGAAGGGCUUCAACCUCAUCCAAAUCUGAAGAAGUUGAGGAUAUGUGGAUAUGGAGGUUCAAGAUUUCCUAAUUGGAUGAUGAACAUGACGCUACCAAAUCUGGUAGAGAUGGAGCUAUCAGCAUUUCCCAACUGUGAACAACUUCCACCAUUGGGGAAACUGCAGUUCCUCAAGAGUCUUGUAUUGCGUGGAAUGGAUGGUGUGAAGAGUAUUGACAGCAAUGUGUAUGGAGAUGGGCAAAAUCCAUUCCCAUCUUUGGAGAUGCUGAAAUUCUGUUCAAUGAAGGGAUUAGAGCAAUGGGUUGCGUGUACUUUUCCUCGCCUUCGAGAAUUGAAUAUAGUCUGGUGCCCUGUGUUGAACGAAAUACCAAUUAUACCCUCCGUCAAAUCAUUGUACAUCCAGGGAGUGAAUGCUUCGCUGCUGAUGUCAGUUAGGAAUCUCUCUUCUAUCACUUCUCUUCGUAUUGACUGGAUUCGCAAUGUGAGGGAGCUUCCCGAUGGGAUUUUGCAAAAUCAUACCCUCCUUGAAAGAUUAGAAAUUGUUAGCCUAACAGAUCUGGAGUCUUUGUCAAAUAGGGUAUUAGAUAACCUUUCUGCUCUUAAA